AUUGAACGCUGGCGGCAUGCCUUACACAUGCAAGUCGAACGGUAACAGGUCUUCGGAUGCUGACGAGUGGCGAACGGGUGAGUAAUACAUCGGAACGUGCCUAGUAGUGGGGGAUAACUACUCGAAAGAGUGGCUAAUACCGCAUGAGAUCUACGGAUGAAAGCAGGGGAUCGCAAGACAUUGCGCUACUAGAGCGGCCGAUGGCAGAUAUGGUAGUUGGUGGGAUAAAAGCUUACCAAGCCGACGAUCUGUAGCUGGUAUGAGAGGACGAUUAGCCACACUGGGACUGAGACACGGCCCAGACUCCUACGGGAGGCAGCAGUGGGGAAUUUUGGACAAUGGGCGAAAGCCUGAUCCAGCAAUGCCGCGUGCAGGAUGAAGGCCUUCGGGUUGUAAACUGCUUUUGUACGGAACGAAAAGCCCCGGGUUAAUACCCUGGGGUCAUGACGGUACCGUAAGAAUAAGCACCGGCUAACUACGUGCCAGCCGCCGCGGUAA
rnacentral:rRNA from 1 species